AUUGCAUAGUGGUUAGAGUGCUUGACUUGGAGUUAAGAAGAUAGGUUCAAAUCCUAUU
rnacentral:tRNA from 1 species